rnacentral:rRNA from 1 species
GACUAACGCUGGCGGCGUGCUUAACACAUGCAAGUCGAACGGAAAGGCCCUACUGUGGUGGGGUGCGCGAUUGGCGAACGGGUAAUUAACACGUGAGUAACCUACCCUUGACUUUGUGAUGACUUCAGGAAGCUUGGGCUAAUACCAGAUAGUGACACCUGCUACAUGGUGGAGGUUGGAAAGUUUCGGCGGAUGGGGUUGGACUCGCGGCUAAUCAGCUUGUUGGUGGGGUAGUGUCUUACCAAGGCUUUGACGGGUAGCCUGCCUGAGAGGGUGACCGGCCACAUUGGGACUGAGAUACGGCCCAGACUACUACGGGAGGCAGCAGUGGGGAAUAUUGCACAAUGGGCGGAAGCCUGAUGCAGCAACGCCGCGUGCGGGAUGACGGCCUUCGGGUUGUAAACCGCUUUAGCCUGUGACGAAGCGUGAGUGACGGUAAUGGGUAAAGAAGCACCGGCUAACUACGUG